GAUGAACGCUGGCGGCGUGCCUAAUACAUGCAAGUCGAGCGAACAGACGAUGAGCUUGCUUCUCUGACGUUAGCGGCGGACGGGUGAGUAACACGUGGAUAACCUACCUAUAAGACUGGGAUAACUUCGGGAAACCGGAGCUAAUACCGGAUAAUAUAUUGAACCGCAUGGUUCAAUAGUGAAAGACGGUUUUGCUGUCACUUAUAGAUGGCUCCGCGCGGCAUUAGCUAGUUGGUAAGGUAACGGCUUACCAAGGCAACGAUGCGUAGCCGACCUGAGAGGGGGAUCGGGCACACUGGGAAUGAGACACGGCCCAGACACCUACGGGAGGCAGAAGUAGGGAAUCUUCGGCAAUGGAAGAAAGUCUGACCGAGAAACGACGCGUGAGUGAAGAAGGUGUUCGGAUCGUAAAACUCUGUUGUGAGAGAAGAACAAAGAAGUAAGUAACUGAACGUGCCAUGACGGUAUCUAAACAGAAAGCCACGGCUAACUACGUG
rnacentral:rRNA from 1 species